rnacentral:rRNA from 1 species
UAGUCUGGUGCCAGCAGCCGCGGUAAUUCCAGCUCCAAUAGCGUAUAUUAAAGUUGUUGCAGUUAAAACGCUCGUAGUCGAAUUUCGGGGCAGGUUUGCCGGUCUGCCGAUGGGUAUGCACUGGUAGAACUGUCCUUCCUUCCGGAGACGGCGCCUACUCUUAACUGAGCGGGUGUCGGAGACGGAUCGUUUACUUUGAAAAAAUCAGAGUGUUUCAAGCAGGCAGCUCGCUUUUGCAUGGAUUAGCAUGGGAUAAUGAAAUAGGACUUUGGUGCUAUUUUGUUGGUUUCGAACACCGAAGUAAUGAUUAACAGGGACAGUCAGGGGCACUCGUAUUCCGCCGAGAGAGGUGAAAUUCUUAGACCAGCGGAAGACGAACCACUGCGAAAGCAUUUGCCAGGGAUGUUUUCACUGAUCAAGAACGAAAGUUAGGGGAUCGAAGACGAUCAGAUACCGUCGUAGUCUUAACCAUAAACCAUGCCGACUAGGGAUUGGAGGAUGUUCCUAUGUGACUCCUUCAGCACCUUUCGGGAAACUAAAGUCUUUGGGUUCCGGGGGGAGUAUGGUCGCAAGGCUGAAACUUAAAGGAAUUGACGGAAGGGCACCACCAGGAGUGGAGCCUGCGGCUUAAUUUGACUCAACACGGGGAAACUUACCAGGUCCAGACAUUGUGAGGAUUGACAGAUUGAGAGCUCUUUCUUGAUUCGAUGGGUGGUGGUGCAUGGCCGUUCUU